GACGAACGCUGGCGGCGUGCUUAAUACAUGCAAGUCGAACGGAAAGGGCCUGCUCUUGUGGGGUGCUCGAGUGGCGAAAGGGUGAGUAACACGUGUGUAGCCUGCCCUUGACUUUGGGAUAACUUCAGGAAACUGGGGCUAUUACCGGAUAUGAGCUCCUGCUGCAUGGUGGGGGUUGGAAAGUUUCGGCGGUUGGGGAUGGAAUCGCGGUUUAUCGGCUUGUUGGUGAGGUCGUGACUUAGCAAGGCUUUGGCGGGUAGCCGGCUUGAGAAGGUGACAGGCCACACUGCGACUCGGCAGCCGGCCAAACACCUGCGGCAGGAAGCGGCGGAAGAUAUAUCAAUAUGGGCAGAAGCAUGAAGCAGCGACGACGCGUCAGGAAUGACGGCCUUCGGAGUAUAAAGUGCAUUAGCGUGGAAAGAAGAGGAAGUGACGGUAAUGUGCAAGGAAGGGCCGGCUAACUACGUG
rnacentral:rRNA from 1 species